GAGCAAUGAUGUGUUGAAUUUCUUCACCUGAAUCCUCUAUGUGGAUCAAAACCGAGCUUUUUAAUCCUGAGCAAC